GAUGAACGCUAGCUACAGGCUUAACACAUGCAAGUCGAGGGGAAACGAUAUUGGAAGCUUGCUUCCGAUAGGCGUCGACCGGCGCACGGGUGAGUAACGCGUAUCCAACCUGCCCAUCACUUGGGGAUAACCUUGCGAAAGUAAGACUAAUACCCAAUGAUAUCUCUAGAAGACAUCUGAAAGGGAUUAAAGAUUUAUCGGUGAUGGAUGGGGAUGCGUCUGAUUAGCUUGUUGGCGGGGUAACGGCCCACCAAGGCGACGAUCAGUAGGGGUUCUGAGAGGAAGGUCCCCCACAUUGGAACUGAGACACGGUCCAAACGCCUACGGGAGGCAGCAGUGAGGAAUAUUGGUCAAUGGACGAGAGUCUGAACCAGCCAAGUAGCGUGCAGGAUGACGGCCCUAUGGGUUGUAAACUGCUUUUAUAAGGGAAUAAAGUGAGCCUCGUGAGGCUUUUUGCAUGUACCUUAUGAAUAAGGACCGGCUAAUUCCGUGCCAGCAGCCGCCGUAA
rnacentral:rRNA from 1 species